rnacentral:lncRNA from 1 species
GCUUACAAUUUAUCUCUAUCUAUAAUGAACUUGGCCCAGUAGUUUCAGUAAAAAAUGUUUGUAAAAAUUUACAAAUUUUAUGAAAAUUGUUAAAAAUUGACUAUAAAGGACAAUAACUCCUUAGGGAGUCAAUUGACCAUUUCAGUCAUGUUGACUUAUUUGUAAAUCUUACUUUGCUGUACAUUAUUGCUGUUUAAAGUUUAUCUCUAUCUAUAAUAAUAUUCAAGAUAAUAACCCAAAACAGUAAAAUUUCCUUAAAAUUACCAAGUUAGGGGCAGCAACCCAACAACGGGUUGUCCGAUUCAUCCGAAAUUUCAGGGCAGAUGGAUUUUGACCUGAUAAACAAUUCAACCCAAUGUCAGAUUUGCUCUAAAUGCUUUGGUUUUUGAGUUAUAAGCCAAAAACUGCAUUUUACCCCUAUGUUUUAUUUUUAGCUAUGGCAGCCAUCUUGGUUGGAUGGCCAGGUCAUCGGACACAUUUUUUAAACUAGAUAUCCCAAAGAUAAUUGUGGCCAAGUUUGGAUUAAUUUGGCCCAGUAGUUUCAGAGAAGAAGAUUUUUGUAAAAGAUUACUAAGAUUUACGAAAAAUGGUUAAAAAUUGACUAUAAAGGGCAAUAACUCCUAAAGGGGUCAACUGACCAUUUCGGUCAUGUUCACUUAUUUGUAAAUCUUACUUUGCUGAACAUUAUUGCUGUUUACAGUUUAUCUCUAUCU